GGGAAAGUAAGGCCAAGAGGACGAGGCCACGCGGCCGGCCAGCGCCGCGUCCCUGCCACGGCAGGCAUCGCGGGUUCGAAUCCCGUCUUUCCCG
rnacentral:tRNA from 1 species